rnacentral:rRNA from 1 species
AAAUUGAAGAGUUUGAUCAUGGCUCAGAUUGAACGCUGGCGGCAGGCCUAACACAUGCAAGUCGAGCGGUAGCACAGAGAGCUUGCUCUCGGGUGACGAGCGGCGGACGGGUGAGUAAUGUCUGGGAAACUGCCUGAUGGAGGGGGAUAACUACUGGAAACGGUAGCUAAUACCGCAUAAUGUCGCAAGACCAAAGUGGGGGACCUUCGGGCCUCAUGCCAUCAGAUGUGCCCAGAUGGGAUUAGCUAGUAGGUGGGGUAACGGCUCACCUAGGCGACGAUCCCUAGCUGGUCUGAGAGGAUGACCAGCCACACUGGAACUGAGACACGGUCCAGACUCCUACGGGAGGCAGCAGUGGGGAAUAUUGCACAAUGGGCGCAAGCCUGAUGCAGCCAUGCCGCGUGUGUGAAGAAGGCCUUCGGGUUGUAAAGCACUUUCAGCGGGGAGGAAGGCGAUAAGGUUAAUAACCUUGUCGAUUGACGUUACCCGCAGAAGAAGCACCGGCUAACUCCGUGCCAGCAGCCGCGGUAAUACGGAGGGUGCAAGCGUUAAUCGGAAUUACUGGGCGUAAAGCGCACGCAGGCGGUCUGUCAAGUCGGAUGUGAAAUCCCCGGGCUCAACCUGGGAACUGCAUUCGAAACUGGCAGGCUAGAGUCUUGUAGAGGGGGGUAGAAUUCCAGGUGUAGCGGUGAAAUGCGUAGAGAUCUGGAGGAAUACCGGUGGCGAAGGCGGCCCCCUGGACAAAGACUGACGCUCAGGUGCGAAAGCGUGGGGAGCAAACAGGAUUAGAUACCCUGGUAGUCCACGCCGUAAACGAUGUCGAUUUGGAGGUUGUGCCCUUGAGGCGUGGCUUCCGGAGCUAACGCGUUAAAUCGACCGCCUGGGGAGUACGGCCGCAAGGUUAAAACUCAAAUGAAUUGACGGGGGCCCGCACAAGCGGUGGAGCAUGUGGUUUAAUUCGAUGCAACGCGAAGAACCUUACCUGGUCUUGACAUCCACAGAACUUUCCAGAGAUGGAUUGGUGCCUUCGGGAACUGUGAGACAGGUGCUGCAUGGCUGUCGUCAGCUCGUGUUGUGAAAUGUUGGGUUAAGUCCCGCAACGAGCGCAACCCUUAUCCUUUGUUGCCAGCGGUUAGGCCGGGAACUCAAAGGAGACUGCCAGUGAUAAACUGGAGGAAGGUGGGGAUGACGUCAAGUCAUCAUGGCCCUUACGACCAGGGCUACACACGUGCUACAAUGGCAUAUACAAAGAGAAGCGACCUCGCGAGAGCAAGCGGACCUCAUAAAGUAUGUCGGGCACUGUUGCAAAUAGUCGGUGGUGAUAAACUUAUCAUCCCCUUUUGCUGAUGGAGCUGCACAUGAACCCAUUCAAAGGCCGGCAUUUUCAGCGUGACAUCAUUCUGUGGGCCGUACGCUGGUACUGCAAAUACGGCAUCAGUUACCGU